UCUCCGUAGGUGAACCUGCGGAGGGAUCAUUACAGAGUUCAUGCCCUACCGGGUAGAUCUCCCACCCUAUGUUAUUAUUACUUUGUUGCUUUGGCGGGCCGUUAGGCUCCGGCCCGACUACCGGCCCCGGCUGGUAAGCGCCCGCCAGAGGACCCAAAACCCUGAAUAUUAGUGUCGUCUGAGUACUAUAUAAUAGUUUAAACUUUCAACAACGGAUCUCCUGGUUCUG
rnacentral:misc_RNA from 1 species